rnacentral:rRNA from 1 species
GAGUUUGAUCAUGGCUCAGAUUGAACGCUAGCGGGAUGCCUUACACAUGCAAGUCGAACGGCAGCACGGACUUCGGUCUGGUGGCGAGUGGCGAACGGGUGAGUAAUGUAUCGGAACGUGCCUAGUAGCGGGGGGAUAACUACGCGAAAGCGUAGCUAAUACCGCAUACGCCCUACGGGGAAAGCAGGGGAUCGCAAGACCUUGCACUAUUAGAGCGGCCGAUAUCGGAUUAGCUAGUUGGUGGGGUAACGGCUCACCAAGGCGACGAUCCGUAGCUGGUUUGAGAGGACGACCAGCCACACUGGGACUGAGACACGGCCCAGACUCCUACGGGAGGCAGCAGUGGGGAAUUUUGGACAAUGGGGGAAACCCUGAUCCAGCCAUCCCGCGUGUGCGAUGAAGGCCUCGGUU